rnacentral:rRNA from 1 species
AUUGAUGGCGGAUCGGUGAGUAAAGGAGCAAACAGCCCUUCCUCGGGGACAAGCCCUGGGAACGCGGAUAAUACGGGAUACGAGGUUCGCAGGCAUCUGUGAACUUGGAAAGCUCCGGCGGUGAAGGAUGAGCCCGCGGCCUAUCUUCUUGUUGGUGAGGUAAUGGCUCACCAAGGCGACGACGGGUAGCCGGCCUGAGAGGGCGACCGGCCACACUGGGACUGAGACACGGCCCAGACUCCUACGGGAGGCAGCAGUGGGGAAUAUUGCACAAUGGGCGAAAGCCUGAUGCAGCGACGCCGCGUGAGGGAUGACGGCCUUCGGGUUGUAAACCUCUUUCAGCAGGGAAGAAGCGCAAGUGACGGUACCUGCAGAAGAAGCGCCGGCUAACUACGUGCCAGCAGCCGCGGUAAUACGUAGGGCGCAAGCGUUGUCCGGAAUUAUUGGGCGUAAAGAGCUUGUAGGCGGCUUGUCACGUCGAUUGUGAAAGCCCGAGGCUUAACCUCGGGUCUGCAGUCGAUACGGGCUAGCUAGAGUGUGGUAGGGGAGAUCGGAAUUCCUGGUGUAGCGGUGAAAUGCGCAGAUAUCAGGAGGAACACCGGUGGCGAAGGCGGAUCUCUGGGCCAUUACUGACGCUGAGGAGCGAAAGCGUGGGGAGCGAACAGGAUUAGAUACCCUGGUAGUCCACGCCGUAAACGGUGGGAACUAGGUGUUGGCGACAUUCCACGUUGUCGGUGCCGCAGCUAACGCAUUAAGUUCCCCGCCUGGGGAGUACGGCCGCAAGGCUAAAACUCAAAGGAAUUGACGGGGGCCCGCACAAGCGGCGGAGCAUGUGGCUUAAUUUGACGCAACGCGAAGAACCUUACCAAGGCUUUACCUCCCCGGAAACGUCUGGAGACAGGCGCCCCCUUGUGGUCGGUGUACAGGUGGUGCAUGGCUGUCGUCAGCUUGUGUCGUGAGAUGUUGGGUUAAGUCCCGCAACGAGCGCAACCCUUGUUCUGUGUUGCCAGCAUGCCCUUCGGGGUGAUGGGGACUCACAGGAGACCGCCGGGGUCAACUCGGAGGAAGGUGGGGACGACGUCAAGUCAUCAUGCCCCUUAUGUCUUGGGCUGCACACGUGCUACAAUGGCCGGUACAAAGAGCUGCGAUACCGUGAGGUGGAGCGAAUCUCAAAAAGCCGGUCUCAGUUCGGAUUGGGGUCUGCAACUCGACCCCAUGA